rnacentral:misc_RNA from 1 species
UGGUUCUGGCAUCGAUGAAGAACGCAGCGAAAUGCGAUAAGUAAUGUGAAUUGCAGAAUUCAGUGAAUCAUCGAAUCUUUGAACGCACAUUGCGCCCUCUGGCAUUCCGGAGGGCAUGCCUGUUCGAGCGUCAUUAAAUCCACUCAAGCUCUGCUUGGUCUUGAGCGCUUCUGCCCCUCCUCUUUCCUCGGAAAAAGGGGGCAGACGCUCGAAAGAUGUUGGCGGCACCGGCGAAGCCUCAUGCGUUAGCAACGUUAACCGCACUGUCAGGCGUUUCGCUCCGGGGCUCGCUCCCAGAAAACCCAACACCUUCAAGGUUGACCUCGGAUCAGGUAGGGAUACCCGCUGA